AGGGGUGCUGUCUGUGAUUGAGGGACAUGGUACAUGGAACUGUCUCACACAGAAAUCGCACCCGUCU
rnacentral:pre_miRNA from 1 species